CUGGGUGCAGCAAGAGAACCGUUACCAUUACUAAACUCAGUAAUGGUAACGGUUUCCUCGCCACCCCAAGU
rfam:TPA: Bos taurus chromosome 19, whole genome shotgun sequence.